rnacentral:rRNA from 1 species
CGAGCGAGACCUUCGGGUCUAGCGGCGGACGGGUGAGUAACGCGUGGGAACGUACCCUUCUCUGCGGAAUAGCCACUGGAAACGGUGAGUAAUACCGCAUACGCCCUUCGGGGGAAAGAUUUAUCGGGGAAGGAUCGGCCCGCGUCUGAUUAGGUAGUUGGUGGGGUAAUGGCCUACCAAGCCUACGAUCAGUAGCUGGUUUUAGAGGAUGAUCAGCCACACUGGGACUGAGACACGGCCCAG